GAUGAACGCUGGCGGCGUGCCUAAUACAUGCAAGUCGAGCGAACAGAUGAGGAGCUUGCUCCUCUGACGUUAGCGGCGGACGGGUGAGUAACACGUGGAUAACCUACCUAUAAGACUGGGAUAACUUCGGGAAACCGGAGCUAAUACCGGAUAAUAUAUUGAACCGCAUGGUUCAAUAGUGAAAGACGGUUUUGCUGUCACUUAUAGAUGGAUCCGCGCCGCAUUAGCUAGUUGGUAAGGUAACGGCUUACCAAGGCAACGAUGCGUAGCCGACCUGAGAGGGUGAUCGGCCACACUGGAACUGAGACACGGUCCAGACUCCUACGGGAGGCAGCAGUAGGGAAUCUUCCGCAAUGGGCGAAAGCCUGACGGAGCAACGCCGCGUGAGUGAUGAAGGUCUUCGGAUCGUAAAACUCUGUUAUUCGGGAAGAACAAAUGUGUAAGUAACUAUGCACGUCUUGACGGUACCUAAUCAGAAAGCCACGGCUAACUACGUG
rnacentral:rRNA from 1 species